GACGAACGCUGGCGGCGUGCUUAACACAUGCAAGUCGAACGGAAAGGCCCUGCUUUUGUGGGGUGCUCGAGUGGCGAACGGGUGAGUAACACGUGAGUAACCUGCCCUUGACUUUGGGAUAACUUCAGGAAACUGGGGCUAAUACCGGAUAGGAGCUCCUGCUGCAUGGUGGGGGUUGGAAAGUUUCGGCGGUAGGGGAUGGACUCGCGGCUUAUGAGCUUGUUGGUGGGGUAGUGGCUUACCAAGGCUUUGACGGGUAGCCGGCCUGAGAGGGUGACCGGCCACAAUGGGACUGCGAGACGGCCCAGACUCCUACGGGAGGCAGCAGUGGGGAAUAUUGCACAAUGGGCGGAAGCCUGAUGCAGCAACGCCGCGUGCGGGAUGACGGCCUUCGGGUUGUAAACCGCUUUCGCCUGUGACGAAGCGUGAGUGACGGUAAUGGGUAAAGAAGCACCGGCUAACUACGUG
rnacentral:rRNA from 1 species